UGGGCAACCUGCCCCAGACUCUGGGAUAACUCCGGGAAACCGGGGCUAAUACCGGAUACUCCGAUCGGACGACAUCGUCUGACCGGGAAAGCUCCGACGGUCUGGGAUGGGCCCGCGGCCUAUCAGCUUGUUGGCGAGGUAACGGCUCACCAAGGCGACGACGGGUAGCUGGUCUGAGAGGACGACCAGCCACACUGGAACUGAGAUACGGUCCAGACCUCCGUACGGGAG
rnacentral:rRNA from 1 species